CGCCUUUCGGCGGCAAGGUGUUGCUGUCGCUCACAGUCCCUUCAGCUCACACACUAUGACCGAAAAAAUAACGAUUAUCGAGGAGCUAAAUGAAUAUCUUAUUUAACUACAAUCCAAGUCGUCCCCGUUUAUGUUUCUCGGCAAGAUACAUGCGUCAGCAUGAGCAGAGCAGAAAUGGGACUCACUAAUUAACGAUGAACGAAGAUAUUUUUCAUCUAAAACGCAGACUGCAGGAAUUUUCUUAGAAUUCUGAAAAAUGUAGAUGAUAAUGUCGAUUGGUUAAAUCAGACUACAACGCUACACGGAAGGAUCCACGUACAUACAACAGCAGAGUCACACAGAGAUCCUCCUUUGUAUAUAAACAUAAAUCUGAGAGAAGCCGAAAACCUCACAAAUAAAAUCACUAAUGUCAGAAA